UUCCGUAGGUGAACCUGCGGAAGGAUCAUUCA
rnacentral:rRNA from 1 species